GUGGGGAAUUUUGGACAAUGGGCGCAAGCCUGAUCCAGCCAUGCCGCGUGCAGGAUGAAGGCCUUCGGGUUGUAAACUGCUUUUGUACGGAACGAAACGGCUCUUUCUAAUAAAGAGGGCUAAUGACGGUACCGUAAGAAUAAGCACCGGCUAACUACGUGCCAGCAGCCGCGGUAAUACGUAGGGUGCGAGCGUUAAUCGGAAUUACUGGGCGUAAAGCGUGCGCAGGCGGUGAUGUAAGACAGAUGUGAAAUCCCCGGGCUCAACAUGGGAACUUCAUUUGUGACUGCAAGGCUGGAGUGCGGCAGAGCGGGAUGGAAGUCCGCGUGUAGCAGUGAAAUGCGUAGAUAUGCGGAGGAACACCGAUGGCGAAGGCAAUCCCCUGGGCCUGCACUGACGCUCAUGCACGAAAGCGUGGGGAGCAAACAGGAUUAGAAACCCUUGUAGUCC
rnacentral:rRNA from 1 species